UAACUGACGCUAAAGCUCGAAAGUGCGGGUAUCGAACAGGAUUAGAUACCCUGGUAGUCCGCACGGUAAACGAUGGAUGCCCGCUGUUGGCGAUAUAGUGUCAGCGGCCAAGCGAAAGCGUUAAGCAUCCCACCUGGGGAGUACGCCGGCAACGGUGAAACUCAAAGGAAUUGACGGGGGCCCGCACAAGCGGAGGAACAUGUGGUUUAAUUCGAUGAUACGCGAGGAACCUUACCCGGGCUUGAACUGCCAGCGAACGAUUCAGAGAUGAUGAGGCCCUUCGGGGCGCUGGUGGAGGUGCUGCAUGGUUGUCGUCAGCUCGUGCCGUGAGGUGUCGGCUUAAGUGCCAUAACGAGCGCAACCCCUUUCUCCAGUUGCCAUCAGGUAGAGCUGGGCACUCUGGAGACACCGCCACCGUAAGGUGUGAGGAAGGUGGGGAUGACGUCAAAUCAGCACGGCCCUUACGUCCGGGGCUACACACGUGUUACAAUGGGUGGUACAGAGAGUCGGUCGCUGGCAAUAGCGAUCCAAUCCUAAAAGCCAUCCUCAGUUCGGAUUGGGGUCUGCAACCCGACCCCAUGAAGCUGGAUUCGCUAGUAAU
rnacentral:rRNA from 1 species